CUUCGAAGUAGAUGCCCCGUGCGUGGACGCCGCCGCCGCAGCGAGGCGCAGCUGCGCUCCCAGGCCUUCCGGUUCCGGACCACGGAACACGCGGCGGCGUGCAGCCUGUCGACGCCCUCCGCCACUGAAACGCCCGUGCACCUUGUUGGCGGCGAAGAAACAGGGCGCCUUCUCGCAGCCGCUGGAGUCCAGGACCAGGACGUCGAAGGAGCAGCCGCUGCCGCUGCCGCCGCCGCCGCCGCGCGUGAAGACCACGAGGUCGUCCUCCUGUAGCUCGUGCGCUCUGGCGAAGUCGCCCCAUCCUGACCCGAGGAGCAGCUCGUCGGCGUCGGCGUUCCUUGCGACGUCGACGAGCCACGUCGCGCCGCUCGGCGAUUUCAGGCUCAGCGUUUCGGUGAGCUGCCCAUUUGGAUCGCUCACGAACUUCUCCGAAUGGGUAGAAUCCCUCAUUACUCCCCUCCAAAAGGCUCCUUCGGGCGGAAGGACAUCUCUACCUUAAUGGAUCAUUUUUCAUGGGAUUGCAAUGCCAAUGGCUGGGGAUGGUAGGACCAUUCUUCUCUCGCAGGAUGUAUGGAACAGCUCUCGGCUCAGGCAGACUUACCCUUGCUUGUACUCUUUUGCUAAAAAGGAAGAUUGCUCCCUCGCGGAAUAUCUUGGCAAUCAAAAUCUUGAGGAAAAUUUCCAUUCUCCUUUGUCCCCGGAAGCUCUUGAGGAAUAUUUGGAAUUAUGUAACUUUGUUAAUUUGAUCCAGCAUGAUGGGAGAGGAAAAGACAAGUGGAUUUAUGUCUGGGGCAAUGACAACUUCAGUUCCACCUGAAUUUAUAAUUUGAACUUUCAAUGUGUUCGGCCACCUCCUCCAUUUCUCUGGAUUUGGAAGUCCAAAGUUUGCAAAAAGCUGAAGGUUUUCAUUUGGCUAGUAUUCAGGGCAGAAUCAACUCAAGGAAUUUGCUAAGAAGAAAGGGCUACGAUUUACCAAAUAAUGAUCAUUGCGGUAUGUUAUGCGAGAUGAACUGCGAAUAGACCACUUAUCAUCUAAUAUUCGAGCGCCCAUUUAGUAGUGAAUGCUGGAAUUAUGUGGGUAUACACUGGGAGCAUCAUUUAGAAUUCUUACGGAUGAUAUCUGAUGCAAGAGCUACCUAUGCAGGACCCUUUUUCUGGAAGUGCUGGCUAUCACUGCUUGGGAAAUUUGGAGACAACGAAAUUCGGCUAUCUUCAGAGAAUCUGUUCCGUCUUUCAAUUCCGGGAGGACCUGAAGCUUCAGAUGAUCAGAUUUAGCGCUGAACUUAAAAUGCUUGUCUCAUUGUGGCUUUCUUC